rnacentral:rRNA from 1 species
UACGAAGGGGGCUAGCGUUGUCCGGAAUCAUUGGGCGUAAAGAGCGUGUAGGCGGCCCGGUAAGUCCGCUGUAAAAGUCAAAGGCUCAACCUUUGAAUGUCAGUGGAUACUGCCGGGCUAGAGUCCGGAAGAGGCGAGUGGAACUCCUGGUGUAGCGGUGGAAUGCGCAGAUAUCAGGAGGAACACCAAUGGCGAAGGCAGCUCGCUGGGACGUGACUGACGCUGAGACGCGAAAGCGUGGGGAGCAAACAGG